rnacentral:rRNA from 1 species
GCCUAACCUAACACACAAUAAAAUAACUAAUUGUUCGCCAAACUAGUACGAGUAAAAACUUAAAACUUAAAAGACUUGACGGUACUUCACACCACCCUAGAGGAGCCUGUCUAAUAACCGAUACUCCACGAUUAACCCAACCUACCCUGGCCGCACAGUCUAUAUACCGCCAUCGCCAGCUUACCUUGUGAAAGCAACAAAGUAAACACAACAGCCCCCCACUAAUACGAUAGGUCGAGGUGUAACUAAUGGGUGGGAAAAAGAUGGGCUACAUUUUCUAAUACAGAAAACACGAAUAGACUAUGAAAAUAGAAACCGAAGGCGGAUUUAGCAGUAUGUUAAGGACAAAAUGCUUAACCGAAAUAAACGCAAUGAAGUGCGUACACACCGCCCGUCAUCCCUGUCAAAAACAAUAAAACUUCAUAAACACAUAAAACCAACUAAACAGGGCAAGUCAUAACAUGGUAAGCGUACUGGAAAGUGCGCUUAGAAA